rnacentral:rRNA from 1 species
GACGAACGCUGGCGGCGUGCUUCACACAUGCAAGUCGAGCGGGGUCCAUCCUCUCGUAAGAGAGGUGAAGACCUAGCGGCGAACGGGUGCGUAACACGUGAGGAACCUGCCCCGAAGUCUGGGAUAACACCGGGAAACCGGUGCUAAUACCGGAUGCCCUCUACGGAUCGCAUGGUCUGUUGAGGAAAGAUUUAUCGCUUCGGGAGGGUCUCGCGGCCUAUCAGCUUGUUGGUGGGGGAAUGGCCUACCAAGGCUGCGACGGGUAGCUGGUCUGAGAGGACGAUCAGCCACACUGGGACUGAGACACGGCCCAGACUCCUACGGGAGGCAGCAGUGGGGAAUCUUGCACAAUGGGCGAAAGCCUGAUGCAGCAACGCCGCGUGGAGGAUGAAGGCUCUCGGGUUGUAAACUCCUUUCAGCAGGGACGAAACUGACGGUACCUGCAGAAGAAGCCCCGGCCAACUACGUGCCAGCCGCCGCCGUAAU